rnacentral:rRNA from 1 species
UACGAAGGGGGCUAGCGUUGCUCGGAAUCACUGGGCGUAAAGCGCACGUAGGCGGAUUGCUAAGUCAGGGGUGAAAUCCUGGAGCUCAACUCCAGAACUGCCCUUGAUACUGGCGGUCUCGAGUCCGGGAGAGGUGAGUGGAACUGCGAGUGUAGAGGUGAAAUUCGUAGAUAUUCGCAAGAACACCAGUGGCGAAGGCGGCUCACUGGCUCGGUACUGACGCUGAGGUGCGAAAGCGUGGGGAGCAAACAGG